UGCGGCCUAUCAGCUUGUUGGUGGGGUGAUGGCCUANCAAGGCGACGACGGGUAGCCGGCCUGAGAGGGCGACCGGCCACACUGGGACUGAGACACGGCCCAGACUCCUACGGGAGGCAGCAGUGGGGAAUAUUGCGCAAUGGGCGGAAGCCUGACGCAGCGACGCCGCGUGGGGGAUGACGGCCUUCGGGUUGUAAACCUCUUUCGCCAUCGACGAAGGUUCUGUGGUUGUGAGGCUGCAGGGUUGACGGUAGGUGGAGAAGAAGCACCGGCCAACUACGUGCCAGCAGCCGCGGUAAUACGUAGGGUGCGAGCGUUGUCCGGAAUUAUUGGGCGUAAAGAGCUCGUAGGCGGUGUGUCGCGUCGGCCGUGAAAACCUGCAGCUUAACUGUGGGCGUGCGGUCGAUACGGGCAUCACUGGAGUUCGGCAGGGGAGACUGGAAUUCCUGGUGUAGCGGUGAAAUGCGCAGAUAUCAGGAGGAACACCGGUGGCGAAGGCGGGUCUCUGGGCCGAUACUGACGCUGAGGAGCGAAAGCGUGGGGAGCGAACAGGAUUAGAUACCCUGGUAGUCCACGCCGUAAACGGUGGGCGCUAGGUGUGGGGGCCAUUCCACGGUCUCUGUGCCGCAGCUAACGCAUUAAGCGCCCCGCCUGGGGAGUACGGCCGCAAGGCUAAAACUCAAAGGAAUUGACGGAAUCGA
rnacentral:rRNA from 1 species